UACGAGCUGACUUGUGUAAAGACCGUGGGCUUCUGCAGAACAUUGCAACCCUCACCAGAACCGAAGCUCACGAUGCCGUGGACGUCCCAGGAGCCAUCUGGGUUUGGGCAAUUCAGAGGGCCACCAGAGUCUCGCUGCAGCCUGCGGUGAUGCCAUCUCCUCCAGCGCAGACCAUUUUCUCAGUUGCCAGGACAUUCCACCAGUCGGGCUGCGAGCAGACAUCAUGGCCGACUACAGGCAGGAAAGCCUGCUGAAGAAUAUCAGCUGCAGGACCGUUGGCUGUCUCAGAUAAUGGAUAUGUUUGUGACUAUAUUUUCACUUUAAUCUUCUCCUUACCAACUGCGUGACUUCUGAAAGCACCAGAUUUUAUUCAUAGUACGCGGCAGUCAGGAUCCACCGUUCAGAGAUCACAGUACCUCCCCACAGGAAUGUUGCCACUCACCGUCAAUCUUGCAAUGCAAAGAAACCUGAAACAAUUGCUUUGCAGAUUUCAAACACUUCGUAUUCCUCCUACCUGCCAUGGCCAGCUGUGAGGCCUGACGUCCUCUCCGUUAACCACUCU